CCUACGGGCGGCAGCAGUGAGGAAUAUUGGUCAAUGGACGAGAGUCUGAACCAGCCAAGUCGCGUGAAGGAUGACUGCCCUAUGAGUUGUAAACUUCUUUUAUAUGGGAGUAAACUGUUAUACGUGUGGCAGUCUGUAAGUACCCUAUGAAUAAGGAUCGGCUAACUCCGUGCCAGCGGCCGCGGUAAUACGGAGGAUUCGAGCGUUAUCCGGAUUUAUUGGGUUUAAAGGGAGCGUAGGUGGAUUGGUAAGUUAGUUGUGAAAGUCUGAGGCUCAACCGUAGAAUUGCAUCUGAUACUGGUCGGCUUGAGUGCAGUAGAGGUAGGCGGAAUGUGUGGUGUAGCAGUGAAAUGCUUAGAGAUCACGAAGAACUCCGAUUGCGAAGGCAGCUUAC
rnacentral:rRNA from 1 species